UGGGGAAUAUUGCGCAAUGGGGGAAACCCUGACGCAGCGACACCGCGUGAGUGAAGAAGUCUUUCGGGAUGUAAAGCUCUGUCAAGAGGGACGAUUGUGACGGUACCUCUGGAGGAAGCAUCGGCUAACUACGUGCCAGCAGCCGCGGUAAUACGUAGGAUGCGAGCGUUAUCCGGAAUUAUUGGGCAUAAAGGGUGCGUAGGCGGUAUGGCAAGUCAGAUGUUAAAGCCUGAAGCUCAACUUCAGUUCGCAUUUGAUACUACCUUACUAGAGGUUAGAAGAGGGAAGCGGAACUCAUGGUGUAGCGGUGAAAUGCGUAGAUAUCAUGAGGAACACCAGUUGCGAAGGCGGCUUCCUGGUCUUAUCCUGACGCUGGGGCACGAAAGCGUGGGGAGCAAACG
rnacentral:rRNA from 1 species